CCCGGAUUGCUCAGAACUUGGUGCACCCGACUUCUUAAUUCGGGCCCUCUUCCAUUUUACAUGGCGAAAAGGUGGUGAUGGAGGAGAAGUGACCCCUGUUUCCACAUUCUCAGACAACGUCCCCUGUUGAGAUUUCUCCUUUUCCACCAUCAGUGUUUGCUCAAGUUUUCUAUACCCCGAACGAGACAUAACGUGCGGGGUAAGAUUCUUCAAAGCUAUCUCUUGAGCUUUCUUCCGACGAUC
rnacentral:lncRNA from 1 species